rnacentral:lncRNA from 1 species
AUGAUCAUAAAUCAUGAAGUUCUUAUGUAUUCAGCAGGGUUCCGAGAAAUGAAGGGUGGGGAUGGUGAAAUGGCGGAAAAGAGUUCGAGAAAAUGGAGGUUGAAGGAUUUAGAUAAAGAGAACGAAGUUGAAGAUGGAAGCAAGAAUGGGAAGAGUGAAAAAAAUCAAGAUGAAAAUCAGAGUUUCUUUUUGAAGAUUUCAGAGGAUUUAAAGACGCAACUUUAG